AGGGCAGGCUGGCGGCGAGGAGCACGGUGGUCGCUCGUGUCCCGGCCACAAGGAGGAGCGUCCGCGCCACCGUGGCCGCCGCCAUCGUCGCGGCGGACCCUGCCGAGGUCGACUACAGCUCGAGCUUCUCGGUGUUCCCCAUGGAGGCCUGCGAGCUGCUCGGCGGCGACGCCUGCAGCGCGCAGAUGUACCCGGAGGCUAAGCUCGCCGGCGCGGCGGAGGCGGCCGCGGGCAGGAGGGAGGAGGAGGUGGAGAGGGACUACCUGUCCUACGACGAGCCGAAGACGGUGUUCCCCGGCGAGGCGUGCGACGACCUCGGCGGCGAGUUCUGCGAGGCGCCGUACCAGGCCGGCGUGUCCAGGGAGCUGGCGCACGCCUGAUCCAUCGUCCAUCUAUCCGCAACAUGAAUUGAUCUCGCCGUCGAGUCGAUGGGUGAUGGGUCCAUAUGCUGCUAUGCACGUACGUGUUGCAGAUGAUACUCGAGUGGUGGAGGGGAAGCUAGCCUACGUGUGCUAGAAUAACAGCAGCCAAGCAAGGCCAAGGACGAUGUCACGUGUGUAAUUGUGCAUGACUUGGGUCGUGCCAGCUGUGCCUGUCUGUAGAAACUAAAGAUGAAAUACUACGAUCCGUAUCGCUUUACA